rnacentral:rRNA from 1 species
CCUACGGGAGGCAGCAGUAGGGAAUAUUGGGCAAUGGAGGCAACUCUGACCCAGCCAUGCCGCGUGCAGGAAGAAGGCGUUAUGCGUUGUAAACUGCUUUUAUAUAGGAAGAAAUAGACCUUGCGAGGUAAGUUGACGGUACUAUAUGAAUAAGCACCGGCUAACUCCGUGCCAGCAGCCGCGGUAAUACGGAGGGUGCAAGCGUUGUCCGGAUUUAUGGGUUUAAAGGGUGCGUAGGCGGUUUAUAAGUCAGUGGUGAAAGACGGUCGCUCAACGAUUGCAGUGCCAUUGAUACUGGUAGACUUGAGUGGGAUUGAGGUAGCUGGAAUGGAUAGUGUAGCGGUGAAAUGCAUAGAUAUUAUCCAGAACACCAAUUGCGUAGGCAAGUUACUAAGUCUCAACUGACGCUGAGGCACGAAAGUGUGGGUAUCAAACAGGAUUAGAUACCCUGGUAGUCCACACUGUAAACGAUGAUAACUAACUGUUGGCUUUCGAGUCAGUGGUACAGAGAAAUCGUUAAGUUAUCCACCUGGGGAUACGCCGGCAACGGUGAAACGUCAAAGAGUAGUGCGNGNGAGAGACGACGACGACGACGAGGAGGAGG